AGUGUGCUUCAGAAUAUUCUGCAAUUCACUGAUGAGCCUGGGCACUCAAGUGAAAGUCAUCUGAUGAACCUCUGACAUUUGAUGAUCAUUAUGUCAAAAGUCUUUUAGGUAACUGAGGAGAGUGCUCCUGACCAUUUUGCAAGGCUAGUGGAAGAACAGACCCAAGAGGUUUCAGAGUUACAAAAAUAUAUGAAAGAGAGAAAAAAAAAUUUCAACAGCCUACUUCAAGGAAACAAAAAGGUGGGCUGCAGAGG